GAUGACGACGACGACGACGACGACGUGGAGAUGUCCGGCAUGUAGGUCGUAGUAGCAGGCAAAUUAAAAUUAAUUACAAAUUAAUUAACCCUUUCUUACGCCUGAAAUCCGGACAAAGUCAGAUAGAUAGAUCCAUCCCUUUCCCUUUCCCUUUUUUUUUUUUUUUUUUUUGCCCUUUCCCUUUUUUUCCCCCGUGUGGAAAUAAAUAUACAUACCUACCUACCUACCUACAUCCACUCUACCACGCCUUACACUGCUUCCAUCACUAGUACUAGUACUACUACCCCCCUCACCACGCAAAGUUAAAAAGCUAUACAUAUGUAUAUAUAUAUAUAUAUAUCCCCCCGAUAUCCGUACAGAACACGUAAAUCAACCAAGGAAGGAAGAGAGAAAGGAAAGCAAGGAGAAAAGCGGAGUGUUGAAAAUAGUAUAUAUAUAUAUAUACCACAUACAGUACAACCAAUAAUAAAACA
rnacentral:sRNA from 1 species